AAAAAAAAAAAAAGGUGAAAACGUUGAAGAAAAAUGGCGAAAGACAGAGAGUAAAAAUAAAGAGAAAAAAAUGAGAGGAAAAUGGCGAAGCCUUUGGAAUUCGAAUCUGAAACCAAAAACCGUAAACUGUUGCGCAUGGCGGUUGUUACACGACGGUCCGGACACCGUCGAGGAGCUUCUCGAACGGCAUCUAGUGAAGAAAGUUAUCAACGAUGAUGAAGAAGAAGAGUUGCUGAAUCGGCGGCGACUCACAAGCACGCGCCGAGAAGCACUGAGUCUCUACAGAGACAUUCUUCGUGCUUCACGAUUUUUCACAUGGCACGAUACCAAAGGCGUUCUAUGGCGUGAUCUUCUUAAGGAUAGCGCUCGUAAAGAGUUUGAGCUUGCCAGGUUUGAGACGGAUCCAGAGAUUGUCACUCGGUUGCUUAUCGGUGGACGUGAGGCUGUGAAUAACGCUAUUGAUAAGCUUGCGGAGAAGCAAAGGGAACAAAUUCAGAAGGAUCGUCGCGGUGGCGGUGGCGGUGGCGGUGGCGGUUUUGAUCAAACAUGAUUUUACUUAAUAAUUUAAAGAAGGGGAAAAGAGAAUCACAAGUGGAGGAAGACCCAAGCUACACUUAUAUGAAGAUUUCUGAAUCCCAGUUUUGGAAGGACCUGUUCUUCAAGGAGAGGCAAACGUCGAGUAUUGUGGAAUAUGUGGCCAAGUAAGCAGCUGGCUGCACUGCAAUACUAUCUUGUAAAAACUGUUAGAAAAUUGUGAUAACAAAUUUGUUAUGUAUUCCCAACAAAGUUAUAUAUAUGUAUUAAAUUGAGUUGUUUAGUGAGUUUCCACACUGAAAUCAAUGUCUGGAAUAACAGCUGAAAUUUGCACAUGCUCUCUUGUGAUUAUAAGAAUACGAUUAUUUGGAAUUUUAAAGUA